rnacentral:rRNA from 1 species
GAGUUUGAUCCUGGCUCAGAACGAACGCUGGCGGUNUGGAUAAGACAUGCAAGUCGAACGCUGAUUUCCAGGGUAGCAAUAUUCUGGAGUCGGAGUGGCGCAAGGGUGCGUAACACGUGGGUAAUUUGCCGUGAAGUUGGGGCUAACUCGCUGAAAGGCGAGCUAAUACCGAAUGUGACUGCCGGAGGGCAUCCUCUGGUUUUCAAAGUUGGGGAUCGUAAGACCUGACGCUUCGCGAUAAGCCCGCGGCCUAUCAGCUAGUUGGUGAGGUAACGGCUCACCAAGGCUAAGACGGGUAGCUGGUCUGAGAGGACGACCAGUCACACUGGAACUGAGACACGGUCCAGACACCUACGGGUGGCAGCAGUCGAGAAUUUUUCUCAAUGGGCGAAAGCCUGAAGGAGCGACGCCGCGUGGGGGAUGAAGGGCUUCGGCCCGUAAACCCCUGUCAUUUGCGAACAAACCUUUUCAUCUAACACAUGGAAAGCUGAUUGUAGCGAAAGAGGAAGGGACGGCUAACUCUGUGCCAGCAGCCGCGGUAAUACAGAGGUCCCAAGCGUUGUUCGGAUUCACUGGGCGUAAAGGGUGCGUAGGUGGCGGGGUAAGUUUGAUGUGAAAUCUCCGGGCUUAACCCGGAAAUGGCAUUGAAUAUUAUUCUGCUAGAGGGUUGGAAGGGAGACUGGAAUUCUCGGUGUAGCAGUGAAAUGCGUAGAUAUCGAGAGGAACACCAGUGGCGAAAGCGAGUCUCUGGACAACACCUGGCACUGAGGCACGAAAGCCAGGGGAGCAAACGGGAUUAGAUACCCCGGUAGUCCUGGCUGUAAACGGUGCACAUUUGCUGUAAGCGGAAUCGACCCCGCUUGUGGCGAAGCUAACGCGUUAAAUGUGCCGCCUGGGGAGUACGGUCGCAAGAUUAAAACUCAAAGAAAUUGACGGGGGCCUGCACAAGCGGUGGAGUAUGUGGCUUAAUUCGAUGCAACGCGAAGAACCUUACCUGGCCUUGACAUGUAUUUAGUAGAAGGUUGAAAGCCUGACGAGAUAGCAAUAUCAGGAUACA